GAGGUUGUUUCAAUUCAAUGACCCCAAUGAGUGGAAUCACAUUGAGAUUUCUUUUGAAGCAGCCCACAGAUUCAACUCAAGUGCAUCCAAUGUGGUGAAGAAGUGUGGCGUAUGUCUUAUAUAUGCAGAAGAUCUUGAAGGAAUCCAUCCACAAAAUAGAAAACAGCUUAAGAGUAGGGGAUGUAAUGUAGUUGAGAGAAGCAGUGACAGAGCAGGACUCAAUCGAAGUGGAAUGGACUCUAGUUCUAGUGGCAGCAGUGAUGGACCCACCAAUGAUCCCACGCUCAAGCUCAAGCGCAAACGUCCUCAAGAAUGACUACCAUCAUCCAGAGGCCAGAAUCAGAAUUUCCAUGGAGGGAGAUCAUUUUCUUGCUUUCUGCAGAGCAACUCCUUUGCAAAUGCAGCGAUUCCAGGAGCUUGGAAUCUAGUUGGUUUCUUUUAUGUGAUAAAUUGGGUAGAAACUUUUUAAAACUUUUAUACAAUGCAUAUAUCAUUAAACUAUUUGUCACCAUUUUUCUGAGUAUAUGAUUCGAACCCUGCUGGUAUUGAUUUUAAUGCCUUUGAUAA